AUUGAACGCUGGCGGCAGGCCUAACACAUGCAAGUCGAGCGGAUGAAGGGAGCUUACUCCUGGAUUCAGCGGCGGACGGGUGAGUAAUGCCUAGGAAUCUGCCUGGUAGUGGGGGAUAACGUCCGGAAACGGGCGCUAAUACCGCAUACGUCCUGAGGGAGAAAGUGGGGGAUCUUCGGACCUCACGCUAUCAGAUGAGCCUAGGUCGGAUUAGCUAGUUGGUGGGGUAAAGGCCUACCAAGGCGACGAUCCGUAACUGGUCUGAGAGGAUGAUCAGGCACACUGGAACUGAGACACGGUCCAGACUCCUACGGGAGGCAGCAGUGGGGAAUAUUGGACAAUGGGCGAAAGCCUGAUCCAGCCAUGCCGCGUGUGUGAAGAAGGUCUUCGGAUUGUAAAGCACUUUAAGUUGGGAGGAAGGGCAGUAAGUUAAUACCUUGCUGUUUUGACGUUACCAACAGAAUAAGCACCGGCUAACUUCGUG
rnacentral:rRNA from 1 species